AGCGUCUGUAGUCGCUUGUCUGGCUCCAGACUCUUUUGCAAUGUUAAAUAUUUCUGCUGAACUGGUUCCAAAUGACUGUGAGUAAGCAGAGGCACGGAAUGGACGCCCUUUCUGAUCUGGAGCUUUCAUGAGGGAAUACCACAUAUUCCCAGAAGAAUCACUUCAAAUUUAUGCUUCUUCUGUGUUAAGAGUGACAAGAGCAGUACAAUGGAAUCAUCAUUUAUCAAUAUACCAGGGGAAAGAGCUUUGUCUAUCUGUCAAGUAUCGAGCCCUCUGAGCAUUCAUUUUCUUAUUGGAAAAUGAGGAUAACAGUGGCUACUUAAGACUGUUCUGAAGAAUUAUGAAAUUAAAAUCAUGUGGAAUACAAAACGACUUCAGUUAAUUCUUUACUACAACAAAUUGAAAAAGAAAUUAAAACACGACCAAACAUGCUCAUGCUGAAUAUGGAGUACUGCUUAUUGGAUGCCAUGGGCACUGUUUCCAGUUGAAGAUACUUCUGUCAGACUUCUCAUCUAAGUCUUUGGCAUGAUUAGUGCUACUGCCUUCCCAAUCCCUUCAUUCUCAAUCGUAGAAUUGCCAAUACUAAAGAUUGUAUAUUGAAAGUUGAGGUUUCAAUACCCUUGUAAUGAUAAGCAUGUGAUUACAGAUAUAUGCAUCUUCACUUUGGUUCUAUUCCUCUAGUUCAGCUAUAAUUUACUUUGCUUCAUUUAAGGAAAAAAUGUUUGGGAAGG